rnacentral:rRNA from 1 species
UUUAAAGAGAGUUUGAUCCUGGCUCAGGACGAACGCUGGCGGCGUGCCUAAUACAUGCAAGUCGAACGAACCGACGAAAAGCUUGCUUUUCUGACGUGAGUGGCGGACGGGUGAGUAACACGUGGGCAACCUGCCUAUCAGUUGGGGAU